rnacentral:pre_miRNA from 1 species
GAUUUUAAAUGGAAAUAUGGUCAAAAACAAAGUUGAUCCUCCCAUCAGGAUCUACAACUUUUAUUUUGGUCACUUCUUCAUCCGACAAAGUGAUACUACCAAUGUUUACAAAAUUGACAUAUCUGUGUUGAUAUUUAUAAACCAGAUGAGAGAAAUGUGAUUAUUGUGAAUAGUAUAAAUAUCAAUUUGUCGGAUGAAGUAGUGACCAAAAUAAAAGUUGUAGAUCUUGAUGGGAGGAUUAACUUUGUUUUUGACCAUAUUUCCAUUUGAAAUC